CUUGCUUUUUAAUUUAGAUUUUAAUUCUUUUUUAUGUAAGGUUUUUCUUAUUUUUCCAAAUGAAGUCUUUUCAAUGUUUAAUUUUAGUUUUUAUUUAACGAUAAAACUAGAUUUUUAAUUAUAACUGACAAAUUUUGUGCCAGCCGUCGCGGUUAUACAGUUAGUUAAAUUAAAUUUUUUUGAUUUAAUAUUUUUAAUUUUUUUUGUAUUUAUAAUUAAAAUUUUUAGGUGGAAUUUUUAUUUUUAUAUUUAUGUAUUGGUUUUUAUUUAUAUAUGAAAAUUAUAAAGAAACUAGGAUUAGAUACCCUAUUAUUAUAAUCGUAAAUCUUUUUAAUAUUAAUAGUUAUGUUCUUUAAAUUAAAAGAAUUUGGCGGUAAUUUAAUCUUUCUAGAGGAACCUGUCCUAUAAUUGAUAAUCCACGAUUGAUUUUACUUUAAUUAUGUUUAUAUAUCGCUGUCAUUGAAUGUUUUAUAAGAAUUAUUUUCUUAAAAUUUUAUGAAUUUAAUGUUAGGUCAAGAUGUAGCUAUAUUAAAGAAGAGAUGGGUUACAUUAAAUUUAUUUUUGGAUUGGUAUUUUUUAUUUAUCAUUAAAUUGGAUUUAGUUGUAAUUUUUGAAAAAUUUUAAUUUUGAUUUUAGUUCUAAAUUAUGUACACAUCGCCCGUCACUCUCAUUUUAAGUUGAGAUAAGUCGUAACAAAGUAGGCCUACCAGAAGGUGGGCCUGGGUUUUCA
rnacentral:ncRNA from 1 species